UUUGCCAAAUGGUUACUAAUUUUACCAUAACCAAAAACACCUUAGAAUGACUUUAAUAUAGUUUUUUGAAGGGUAAGAAUGUCUUUAUGUCAAAAUUGAAUUUAUAAAUGACAACACUAAACUAUUAAUGGAAACCCUAUUUCAUUCAACGUCAUUUCGAUGUCAUUUUUGUCAGUUAAUAUUUCGUGCGUGAGUGAUCUACAAUCAAGUGCUCCCAAACUUUUAUUAAAAUAAUUAGGAUAAACUUUGUCUACAACAUGGAAGAUUUCAAUUUAACACAUCGGUCCACAUAAAAAUUAUUCUACCGAAAUGCUAGAAGUUGCCGCAGACCUAGUCAAAAGUGGAAAAAUUUCGUUCCUGGAAGCCUCAAAACGAUUCCACAUAUCACGGCGAACUAUCAAAAAUAAAGUAAAAAAUAAACAUAAUAAAAAGCCAGGGGGCCAACAAAAACUUACCUAUUCUGAAGAAAAACAAAUAGUAAAUGUUUUAAUAGCAGUAGUUGCUUUUGGCGCUCCCCUCUCACGAUUAGAUUUAAGUUUUGUUGUAUUUCAUUACUUGAAAGGAAACAAUAAACAACACAUUUUUAAUAACAAACCGCCAGGUAAAUGUUGGUUAAGUAAUUUUCUGGCUCGCCAUAAGGAUAAACUAACAACCCGAGCGGCACAAAAUAUCAAAAAAGUUCGCGCUGCAAAAACUGUCGAUGAAUUUACUAUUUAUUUCCCAAAUCUAAAAGAUACCUUAAAAGACAUACCUGCAGGUAAUAUAUUAAAUUACGAUGAAACAAAUUUCUCAGAUAAUCCCGGAUCGUCAAAAUGCAUUUUUAAGCGCGAAAUAAAAUAUCCUGAAAGAGUUCUCAAUCACACCCAGGGAAGUAUAUCGAUUAUGUUAGCAUCGGCAGCAGAUGGUAUACUCUUGGCAACUUAUAGGUACUGUUUAUAAAGCAGAGCAUUUGUGGACGUCAUGGUGUCAAAAUGGACCAAACGGUAGCAGAUAUAAUCGAACUAAAUCCAGCUGGUUCGAUUCCACUGUUUUUGAAGAUUGGUUCUAGACAAUAGAAAAGCUACAAGGCCCCAAAGUGGUAAUUGGUGAUAAACUUUCUAGCAAUUUUAGCGUGAAUAUAAUACGCCUAUGUGAAGAAAAAAUAUAAGGUUCACAUUUCUGCCUCCUAGUUUUACGCACAUUAGACAACCUUUAGAUGUCGUAUUUUUUAGUCCACUAAAAAAAAAUGGCGUCAGAUUUUAACUACCUACAAAUAUGAAAAUCCAUCAGAAAGUCAGUUAAAUAAAACUCAUUACUUAAAUCUCUCAUAGAUGUAAUAAACGUGACAAGCAAGGAAAAUAUAAUUUCUGGGUUUAAGGCUACAGGGAUAGUCCCUUUUAACCCUGAAUUUUUUUAUGGAAGCUUCCAGAAUGUGAUGAAGGAAAUAAAUAUAAAGAAGACACCGCACUUUUGUAUUAUCUAAAAGCUAACCGGUCUGUAAAUCCUCUUAGGAAAAAUAUAAAUAAAAAAUGACAGUAUUUUUGAACCAGUGCAUCAGUUUCUUUUGAAGAAAUAGAAAACUUGAUGUCAAAGAAACCAAUGAAAGAAAGAAAAUCGAAUAAAAAAGGUCUAAUAAAGAAACUGAAGGCUGAGGCUCUGAAUCAUACUAUAUCUGGAUUGGAAUGCGAAUUUCAAAACCCAGUACCUUCACCAGAACCUAUUAUGAAUCAAACACCAGAAUUCGACUCUACAUCUAACUCGGGUGGAGAAAAAGUAACUAUUUUAUCUGAAAUAAAAUUCAGCUCAUAUAACCGGGCUUACACUGAUUUAAAAAAUAAUAAUUUGCAAUUGCAUAAAUCUGAAGAUAAAACUCACGAUAUAUAUUGAUCAUUAUCACACACACCGAAACGGUUUUAUUUCAAACCAGAUAAUAUUGUAGCACAGACAGAUAGUAUAAUUUGGAAAAAACAACACAAAUUUCUGCAGAAAAUAUGGUAGAGAAACAAAUUAACAGUUCCCUUCUCGUUAGAUUUAGAGGACAUAAAACGAAUAAGUUUUAUGUUGGGUAGGUUUUAGAGUUAACGGAAAAUUCGGAAAUGCUGGUUAAAUUUAUGAGAAGAAGGAAGGCGGGCCUUUUUUAUUGGCCUGACGUGAAUGAUGUUAGUUUUAUCCUGGAAUCCGAUGUGGAGUUGGUCUGGACGCCCGAGAAGGUCGCCGGGGAACAUUUAAGUUUGAAAAUAUUAAUUACUCAAAUAAAUGAUUGUAUACCCCAGAAGACUACAUAAGAGAUAAUGAAAAAAUUACGAAAAAUUAAACCAAUGAUUAUACACAGGCUUAUCAAAGAAGAGUUUUUGUCGUCAGGCAAUUUAGAGGCACAAAUCACAAUUAGAAAGAAGGCAGAAGAUGGAUCGAAAAUAAGUUGGCUGGAUACCAAAGAAAUAAUGCUUAAGAAAGAUAAAAUGUACUCCAUUUUUACCUUUCUUUUUUUUUUUUUUUUUUUUCUAACCUAAGCUGAUAGCCCUAGGGGCCACGUCAGCGUAACCCUAACUUUAGUAGGUGAGCUCACGGGGCUCAAACCUGAUGACGUUGCUAACACGAACCCUAGCAAGAGCCGUGCUUCGCAGAAUCUACCACCGGAUCGGAAACGCGACCCACUGAGAAGAUCCGGCGAGAAACUCAGUGGGCUGUGUCUGAGAGUUAAUUUACUCGUCGAGCCCUUCGUCGCAAGCGACGGGUUCGACGAGAACGGUGACCGGCAUUUUUAUCAAAAACAAUCUGGACGAUGAAUUGAAGGAGGUUAAUAGUAAGAAAAACAUCAGAAGCAGGGCUAUUAUAUCCAAAAGUGAUAUGGACUUACUUUGGCCUACAGGUAAAGCCAUAUCUGAGACCAAACUAACAGAUUUUUUUUUUAUUGCUUUGAUGGGUGGACGAGCUCACAGCCCACCGAAACGCAUUACUGCUUCGCGGCAGAAAUAGGCAGAGCGGUGGUGCCUAGUCGUGCGGACUCACAAGAGGUACUACCACCAGUAAAAAAAAAGUGGAACGCUUCACGAUUUUGCGUGUCAUCCUUGCGCAGGGGCUAUGCUAAUCUUCUCUAUAUUAUUCCAAUUUUAGUAUAUGUACUGCCGAAGCAAGUAUAAAAAGUAUUCUGCACCUUAUACCAAAAGAUGCACAACACGGUUUAACAAAACCCUGAAAAGUAACAACAUAGAAGACAAUAUCGACAGUUUUACUGGUCAUAUGGAUUUUGAGGCAGAAGACGAUAAUUGUAACGAUUAGUUUUAAAAGUUCUUGCUUCCAUUGUACUAUUUUUUUAAGUUACAUGUAAGAAAAUGAUUCGCUAUCUAAUAAAUGACAAAACAGUAGCAUAAUUAUAAUGAAUUACUUUUAUUUUUAGAAAUAUCACAACAAAGAAAUCUUAGGUCCAUUUUGCAAGAAGGAACUAAGCAACAAAUUAUGUUUUGCAAGAAAGAACCAACCGGAUUUUUAAAGAUUUAGUUUAUACUGUGACUACAUAAACUAUAUAAAUCAGAUAGUCCUAGAUAGGUUACAGUAUCCCAAAUAGGUUUAAAAGUAUUCAUUCAUUAUUAUAAUAUCUAUGCAUUUUGCACACUAACCUGCUGUGGGUUGGUUCUUGUUUGCGUAAAUGGGUCCAACUUAAAACUUAAAUAUCUCAUAACUACUUCUGUGUGGGUUGGAUUCUUUCUGUAUAACUACGGCCAAUUGAUGUUAGCUUUAUAAGUGCUAACCUCGCAUCAAUAAGCGAGUGGUUUAUACAUGAUGAUGCCAUGGGUAGCUAUCACUACCCAACAAUUACAGAGAUUUCACUACAUAAUAUGUAUUGAAAUAAUAAUAAGAAAAAAUAAUAA